AAAAGGUGGCUAUGCUACCGCUUUUGGAUGGGCCCGCGGCGCAUUAGCUAGUUGGUGGGGUAAAGGCUUACCAAGGCAAUGAUGCGUAGCCGAACUGAGAGGUUGAUCGGCCACAUUGGGACUGAGACACGGCCCAAACUCCUACGGGAGGCAGCAGUAGGGAAUCUUCCACAAUGGGCGAAAGCCUGAUGGAGCAACGCCGCGUGGGUGAAGAAGGUCUUCGGAUCGUAAAACCCUGUUGUUAGAGAAGAAAGUGCGUGAGAGUAACUGUUCACGUUUCGACGGUAUCUAACCAGAAAGCCACGGCUAACUACGUGCCAGCAGCCGCGGUAAUACGUAGGUGGCAAGCGUUAUCCGGAUUUAUUGGGCGCAAAGGGAACGCAGGCGGUCUUUUAAGUCUGAUGUGAAAGCCUUCGGCUUAACCGGAGUAGUGCAUUGGAAACUGGGAGACUUGAGUGCAGAAGAGGAGAGUGGAACUCCAUGUGUAGCGGUGAAAUGCGUAGAUAUAUGGAAGAACACCAGUGGCGAAAGCGGCUCUCUGGUCUGUAACUGACGCUGAGGUUCGAAAGCGUGGGUAGCAAACAGGAUUAGAUACCCUGGUAGUCCACGCCGUAAACGAUGAAUGCUAAGUGUUGGAGGGUUUCCGCCCUUCA
rnacentral:rRNA from 1 species